ensembl:snRNA U6 U6 spliceosomal RNA
GUGCUCACUGUGGCAGCACAUGUAUGAAAACUGGAAUGGCACAGAGAAGAUCAGCGUCAUUGCUGCACAAGGGUGGCAUGAAAAUUCGUGAAGUGUUCCAUAUUUUU